CCUACGGGAGGCUGCAGUGAGGAAUAUUGGUCAAUGGGCGUACGCCUGAACCAGCCAAGUCGCGUGAGGGAUGAAGGUUCUAUGGAUCGUAAACCUCUUUUAUAAGGGAAUAACGUGCGGGACGUGUCCCGUUUUGUAUGUAACUUAUGAAUAAGGCUCGGCUAACUCCGUGCCAGGAGGCGCGGUAAUACGGAGGAUGCGAGGGUUAUCCGGAUUUAUUGGGUUUAAAGGGUGCGUAGGCGGGCGUUUAAGUUAGCGGUGAAAGUCUGUGGCUCAACCAUGGAAUUGCCGUUGAAACUGGUAGGCUUGAGAAUAGUUGAGGCAGGCGGAAUGCGUGGUGUAGCGGUGAAAUGCUUAGAGAUCACGCAGAACCCCGAUUGCGAAGGCAGCCUGCCAAGCCAUGUCUGACGCUGAGGCACGAAAGCGUGGGGAGCAAACAGGAUUAGAUACCCUUGUAGUC
rnacentral:rRNA from 1 species